CUCUGCCUACGGGGGGCAGCAGUGGGGAAUAUUGCACAAUGGGGGGAACCCUGAUGCAGCAAUGCCGCGUGGGUGAAGAAGCACUCCGGUGCGUAAAGCCCUGUCAGCAGGGAAGAAAAUGACAGUACCUGACCAAGAAGCCCCGGCUAACUACGUGCCAGCAGCCGCGGUAAUACGUAGGGGGCAAGCGUUAUCCGGAUUUACUGGGUGUAAAGGGAGCUCAGGCGGAAUGGCAAGUCAGAUGUGACAACCCAGGGCUCAACCCUGGGACUGCAUUUGAAACUGCCAUACUGGAGUGCCG
rnacentral:rRNA from 1 species